rnacentral:misc_RNA from 1 species
GAUUAAGAACGUAGCGAAAUGCGAUAAGUAAUGUGAAUUGCAGAAUUCAGUGAAUCAUCGAAUCUUUGAACGCACCUUGCGCCUUUUGGUAUUCCGAAAGGCACACCUGUUUGAGCGUCAUGAAUACCUCAAUCUCCAUCUUUUCUUCGGAUUGAUGGGUGACUUGGAUGUUGAGCCCUGCUGGUAUGCUAUAUCAGCUGGCUUUAAACUUAUUAGCCGGCUCUGUACUGGAUCGGUUUGACUCGACGUGAUAAUAUUAUCGUUGAGGAUGCAUGUCUCAUGCAGCCGGAAAGUAUCAAAGCAGCUUCUAGCUUGCCUUUAGUGCACUUUUACAUUUUAGACCUCAGAUCAGGUGGGACUACCCGCUGAACUUAAGCAUAUCAAUAAGCGGAGGA